ACUGCAUUGCGUCUUGUCGCUACUUCCAAAUUUGAAGAAAAGCAACACAGGAUAAAUAAACAGGAUUGCCCCAAAUAAAUAUUUGGCUCUGAGUAUCAGCAUCAAACCAGCAUCUUUCUGGAAAAGACUGCUAAGAUCCUAGAUAUUGUCUCUUCUGCUGGGAGGAGGGAGAUUCUGCACCGAGCAGCAUGUGGACUUCUGAAUACAGAACUGGAGAACUCAGACACUGCAGUGAAGACCUGUCUCCCCUUCAUUUGCAAAAAUGCUCAGGUUUAGAUAAGAAAAUUCCAGCAAGAGAGAGUAGCACAAGGUCACUCACUUCUCAAGGUGACAUGCCUUCCCCUUUUUCUGAGCCAGUGCUGAUGCCCCGUUGAGCUGGCUGAAAACUGAAGGGAAUUUUGCCAUUUGAAACUGUUUACAUUUAAAACAAAGAGACUUUUAGAUUUCCUACAAAGCAGAUAUUUCGUAACUUGACAAUUACCAAAAUCACUUAGUGUGGUAUUCUGACGCUUCAUUUAAUCUUAAUGAGUUAUAUCUUAAUGCAUGUGGUUUCAUGUUUUGAUUUAUUAAAGGCAGCAGUAGUACUAGUCAGUGACAUGAGCACGGACCACCAGCAACCCCCCCAGAAAGAGCUCACUUUAAGGUUUCAGCUUGUGCUCCCAAGACUCAGGAGAAACCAACACAAGAACUGGCUGUGCAAAGUGUUCAGUGACCUCACAAGGGAUCCCACCAGGGACUCCACCAGAGUCCCCACCUUGCAGCACCAGCCAGCCAUUCAUCUCACCCUGGCUUCCUCCAUGGCACAUCUGCCUUGCAGUGCUCUCCUAAAUGUUUCUUCUUUGAUAAUGUAAAAAUCUGGGAACAUCCAAAAAACCUUUUCAAAACCCAUCAACAACACAGCAGGAAAAAAGAACAGAAGAAAAAGUCACUGGAAAACAAAUGAACCAAAAGAAAAAAAUGACUAUUUGAGGGAUUUGAAAGAAAAAAAAAAAAUUUUUUUCUAUUAAUUAUUUCCUGUUACAAAUUUGUAGCAAAGUGUGAUCCCAAUAAGAGCACUGGCAAGCUGGCAUCUCUGUUGUUCUGGUUCGUUAAUCCAUUCUGAGAGGUGACAGCCCAUGUCAUGAUUUCUUGGCAAGGCAAAGAGGCAGUUCUGUGCGUAAAUUGUAGCUCCACUGACAUCACACAGUACCAUGAUAAUUUACACUGCACUAGGGCCUAUUCCACUGUCUGAAUUCCCUUGCCCAUGACAUUACAGUUUGUAUCCAGGACAGCUUUACUUA